rnacentral:rRNA from 1 species
UACGGAGGGUGCGAGCGUUGUCCGGAAUCAUUGGGCGUAAAGGGCGCGUAGGUGGCCCGGUCGGUUCGUGGUGAAAGCGCGGGGCUCAACCCUGCGUCGGCCAUGAAUACUGCCGCGGCUGGAGCACUGUAGAGGCAGGCGGAAUUCCGGGUGUAGCGGUGGAAUGCGUAGAGAUCCGGAAGAACACCGGUGGCGAAGGCGGCCUGCUGGGCAGUUGCUGACACUGAGGCGCGACAGCGUGGGGAGCAAACAGG